rnacentral:rRNA from 1 species
UACGUAGGUGGCGAGCGUUGUCCGGAUUUACUGGGCGUAAAGCGCGCGCAGGCGGACUGAUCAGUCUGGGGUGAAAUCUCACGGCUCAACUGUGAGCGGUCCAUGGAUACUGUCAGUCUUGAGAUGUCUAGAGGAGAGCGGAAUUCCCGGUGUAGUGGUGGAAUGCGUAGAUAUCGGGAAGAACACCAGUGGCGAAAGCGGCUCUCUGGGGACCAUCUGACGCUGAGGCGCGAAAGCGUGGGGAGCGAACAGA